CCGCCCGUCACAUCACGAAAAGUGGGUUGUACUAGAAGUCUGCAGGCUAACCCGCAAGGGAGGCAGCGGCCCAAGGUAUGACUCAUGAUUGGGGUG
rnacentral:rRNA from 1 species